rnacentral:rRNA from 1 species
UGGGGAACCUGCCCCAUAGUCUGGGAUACCACUUGGAAACAGGUGCUAAUACCGGAUAAGAAAGCAGAUCGCAUGAUCAGCUUUUAAAAGGCGGCGUAAGCUGUCGCUAUGGGAUGGCCCCGCGGUGCAUUAGCUAGUGGUAAGGUAAAGGCUUACCAAGGCGAUGAUGCAUAGCCGAGUUGAGAGACUGAUCGGCCACAUUGGGACUGAGACACGGCCCAAACUCCUACGGGAGGCAGCGCG